CAUAAACCUGGGGAUGGGAAACAGCGAAGGAGGACGUCAGGCAGGAAGAUUUCAAAAGAUAGGCUAGAAACUACUUAGACGUCUAGAUGAGAACUUGGACUCAGAGGGUUUUACUUUACAAACAACGUGGACCAUCAGAUGAAGAAUGCUCGUCCAGCAGCUCCUUAAGAACACUGCAGCAGAUGGUUACUUGCAGGUGCUGCCAGUAGGAGAUUGCCGGAGACUACAGGUGUGGCUCAUUGGUUCAUCAGCUGGGAAGCAUAAAGAGGGUGGAUUGCCAACACUUCGUUGCCUGAGUGCUUUGCCUUCCAUGGUGUGAUUUCUAGGUGAUCUGAUCCAGACCUCUGUUUGUUGUGCGGACUCCUUCCAGGACUGAACCUGUGUGUUCCUCUCCUGACUCUGUGUGCCCCCCCCCCAAGUGACGGGGAUUAGGCUCACCGCUUUUCAUUAGUGCCUGA